UUAAGCGACUAAGCGUACACGGUGGAUGCCCUGGCAGUCAGAGGCGAUGAAGGACGUGCUAAUCUGCGAAAAGCGCCGGCGAGGUGAUAUGAACCUUUGACCCGGCGAUGUCCGAAUGGGGAAACCCAGUGUGAUUCGUCACACUAUCGUUAACUGAAUACAUAGGUUAACGAGGCGAACCGGGGGAACUGAAACAUCUAAGUACCCCGAGGAAAAGAAAUCAACCGAGAUUCCCCCAGUAGCGGCGAGCGAACGGGGAGCAGCCCAGAGUCUGAAUCAGCUUGUGUGUUAGUGGAAGCGUCUGGAAAGUCGCACGGUACAGGGUGACAGUCCCGUACACGAAAAUGCACAGGUUGUGAACUCGAAGAGUAGGGCGGGACACGUGGUAUCCUGUCUGAAUAUGGGGGGACCAUCCUCCAAGGCUAAAUACUCCUGACUGACCGAUAGUGAACCAGUACCGUGAGGGAAAGGCGAAAAGAACCCCGGCGAGGGGAGUGAAAAAGAACCUGAAACCGUGUACGUACAAGCAGUGGGAGCACCUUCGUGGUGUGACUGCGUACCUUUUGUAUAAUGGGUCAGCGACUUAUAUUCUGUAGCAAGGUUAACCGUAUAGGGGAGCCGAAGGGAAACCGAGUCUUAACUGGGCGUUAAGUUGCAGGGUAUAGACCCGAAACCCGGUGAUCUAGCCAUGGGCAGGUUGAAGGUUGGGUAACACUAACUGGAGGACCGAACCGACUAAUGUUGAAAAAUUAGCGGAUGACUUGUGGCUGGGGGUGAAAGGCCAAUCAAACCGGGAGAUAGCUGGUUCUCCCCGAAAGCUAUUUAGGUAGCGCCUCGUGAACUCAUCUUCGGGGGUAGAGCACUGUUUCGGCUAGGGGGUCAUCCCGACUUACCAACCCGAUGCAAACUACGAAUACCGAAGAAUGUUAUCACGGGAGACACACGGCGGGUGCUAACGUCCGUCGUGAAGAGGGAAACAACCCAGACCGCCAGCUAAGGUCCCAAAGUCAUGGUUAAGUGGGAAACGAUGUGGGAAGGCACAGACAGCCAGGAUGUUGGCUUAGAAGCAGCCAUCAUUUAAAGAAAGCGUAAUAGCUCACUGGUCGAGUCGGCCUGCGCGGAAGAUGUAACGGGGCUAAACCAUGCACCGAAGCUGCGGCAGCGACACUAUGUGUUGUUGGGUAGGGGAGCGUUCUGUAAGCCGUUGAAGGUGGCCUGUGAGGGUUGCUGGAGGUAUCAGAAGUGCGAAUGCUGACAUAAGUAACGAUAAAGCGGGUGAAAAGCCCGCUCGCCGGAAGACCAAGGGUUCCUGUCCAACGUUAAUCGGGGCAGGGUGAGUCGACCCCUAAGGCGAGGCCGAAAGGCGUAGUCGAUGGGAAACAGGUUAAUAUUCCUGUACUUGGUGUUACUGCGAAGGGGGGACGGAGAAGGCUAUGUUAGCCGGGCGACGGUUGUCCCGGUUUAAGCAUGUAGGCGGAGGUUCCAGGUAAAUCCGGUACCUUUUUAACGCUGAGGUGUGAUGACGAGGCACUACGGUGCUGAAGUAACAAAUGCCCUGCUUCCAGGAAAAGCCUCUAAGCAUCAGGUAACAUCAAAUCGUACCCCAAACCGACACAGGUGGUCAGGUAGAGAAUACCAAGGCGCUUGAGAGAACUCGGGUGAAGGAACUAGGCAAAAUGGUGCCGUAACUUCGGGAGAAGGCACGCUGAUAUGUAGGUGAAGCCCCUGCGGGUGGAGCUGAAAUCAGUCGAAGAUACCAGCUGGCUGCAACUGUUUAUUAAAAACACAGCACUGUGCAAACACGAAAGUGGACGUAUACGGUGUGACGCCUGCCCGGUGCCGGAAGGUUAAUUGAUGGGGUUAGCGGUAACGCGAAGCUCUUGAUCGAAGCCCCGGUAAACGGCGGCCGUAACUAUAACGGUCCUAAGGUAGCGAAAUUCCUUGUCGGGU
rnacentral:rRNA from 1 species